UUUAGUUGCCAUAUGAAUUUG
rnacentral:piRNA from 1 species